AACGAACGCUGGCGGCAGGCUUAACACAUGCAAGUCGAACGCUGUAGCAAUACAGAGUGGCGCACGGGUGAGUAACGCGUGGGAACGUGCCCUUCAGUACGGGAUAACACCGGGAAACUGGUGCUAAUACCGUAUAUUCCCCCCGGGGGAAAGAUUUAUCGCUGAAGGAUCGGCCCGCGUAAGAUUAGGUAGUUGGUGGGGUAAUGGCCUACCAAGCCUACGAUCUUUAGCUGGUCUGAGAGGAUGAUCAGCCACACUGGAACUGAGACACGGUCCAGACUCCUACGGGAGGCAGCAGUGGGGAAUAUUGGACAAUGGGGGAAACCCUGAUCCAGCCAUGCCGCGUGAGUGAUGAAGGCCUUAGGGUUGUAAAGCUCUUUUGUCAGGGAAGAUGAUGACGGUACCUGAAGAAUAAGCACCGGCUAACUUCGUG
rnacentral:rRNA from 1 species